rnacentral:rRNA from 1 species
UACGUAGGGUGCGAGCGUUGUCCGGAAUUAUUGGGCGUAAAGAGCUCGUAGGCGGCGUGUCGCGUCGGAUGUGAAAGCCCGGGGCUUAACCCUGGGUCUGCAUUCGAUACGGGCAGGCUGGAGUUCGGUAGGGGAGAUCGGAAUUCCUGGUGUAGCGGUGAAAUGCGCAGAUAUCAGGAGGAACACCGGUGGCGAAGGCGGAUCUCUGGGCCGAUACUGACGCUGAGGAGCGAAAGCAUGGGGAGCGAACAGG